rnacentral:lncRNA from 1 species
ACUAGAUUAUUUAAUUUUAUAGAUUGCCUAUUAUAUAAAGGUUUGCUUUGUAUUGUUUUUAUUGAUUCAACCCUUUUAAUAAAAAUCUACUUUUUAAAUUUGUUGAAUCCUUUGUUCUUUGGAACAUCGUAAUGCUACGAGAGUGAUCUCCGUAAGCACGGUCUUGUUCACUAGUGGGGCUGCCUCUCACAGACUAAGACCAACCCAGCAAGUAUCUGGCCUUCCGCAGCCUUAUACUGAAGAACCAUCGAUCCACCUUUCCUUUAAUCCAUCUUUGGGUCAAAGCUUAUCCUUUUCACCAACCUUCGAGUGCAUUCCUUGGGAGAUUUUCUAUUAUUUGGUAUCAGAGCACACUUGAGGGUUCGGCGUUCACUUUUGUCAUUCAUCAUUCUCAUCUUUCCAUCUUCUACAAAAAAAAAAAAAAAAAAAAAAAAAUCCACGAGAAAACAAGAGAUCAUUCCAUCUGAAGUUAAACCGAGACUGCUCCUCCAUCUCUCGUAAUGGCUCUAGGAGAUUGCUUCUCCAAAAGCAACCUGUUUUGAUCACUAGUGGGGCUGCCUCUCACGGUCACAGGUUCUAAACAUUAAGUCGGAUUUGAGGGCAAAUCCUUUUGAAGGAGGAGGGGAUGAUGUGACCUUGUUCAGGAACAAGCAAAUCAAGAGAAGUCCAAAAAAAAAAAGGCUCACCAAGAAAAUACAAGCCAAUGUCGUAUAAUAUAUCAAUCUGACGGCAAUUCAGAGACCGUCGAUCAUGCAAAAGGAUGCGACCAGCCAAGGAAUUCUGCGAACACAAUUUCCAAAAUUCAGUCAACAGUCUUGGUCUUUGGUCAAGUCAAUAUUCCUAGUCAAGUCUUCAUAGUUUUAAGAGCUUUAUAGUUUCAAGGAUUGACUAGAUUAUUUAAUUUUACAGACUGCCUAUUAUAUAAAGGUUUGCUUUGUAUUGUUUUUAUUCAUUCAACCCUUUUAAUAAAAUCUACUUUUUAAAUUUGUUGAAUCCUUUGUUCUUUGAACAUCGUAAUGCUACGAGAGUGAUCUCCGUAAGCACGGUCUUGUUCACUAGUGGGGCUGCCUCUCACGGACUAAGACCAACCCAGCAAGUAUCUGGCCUUCCGCAGCCUUAUACUGAAGAACCAUCGAUCCACCUUUCCUUUAAUCCAUCUUUGGGUCAAAGCUUAUCCUUUCACCAACCUUCGAGUGCAUUCCUUGGGAGAUUUUCUAUUAGAUACUCCAUCCCCACUUGAAGCCGGCUAAGUUCAUGAAGGAGAGAGAGGCAAAAGCUCACAUGACUGAAG